rnacentral:rRNA from 1 species
UGCCAGACUCCUACGGGAGGCAGCAGUGGGGAAUAUUGCACAAUGGGGGAAACCCUGAUGCAGCAACGCCGCGUGGGUGAAGGAGCGUUUCGGCGCGUAAAGCCCUGUCAGCGGGGAAGAAGAAAGACGGUACCCGACCAAGAAGCCCCGGCUAACUACGUGCCAGCAGCCGCGGUAAUACGUAGGGGGCGAGCGUUAUCCGGAAUUACUGGGUGUAAAGGGAGCGUAGACGGCGAGGUAAGCCUGAAGUGGAAGCCCGCGGCCCAACCGCGGAACUGCUUUGGGAACUGUUUUGCUGGAGUAUGGGAGGGGUAAGCGGAAUUCCUGGUGUAGCGGUGAAAUGCAUAGAUAUCACGCAGAACUCCGAUUGCGAAGGCAGCAUACCGGCGCGCAACUGACGCUCAUGCACGAAAGCGUGGGUAUCGAACAGGAUUAGAUACCCGCGUAU